rnacentral:rRNA from 1 species
AUCGACGUGGAGGUUUGUCACCUCGUUGUCGGCUCAUCGCAUCCUGGGGCUGUAGUCGGUCCCACGGGUUGGGCUGUGCGCCCAUUAAAGCGGUACGCGAGCUGGGUGCAGCACGUCGCGAGACAGUUCGGCCCCUAUCCGUCGUGGGCGUAGGAAAUUUGAGAGGAGCUGUCCUUAGUACGAGAGGACCGGGAUGGACAUACCUCUGUUGUACCAGUUUUCGUGCCAACGGCAUAGCUGGGUAGCUAUGUGU